CCCUUAGAUGUUCUGGGCUGCACGCGCGCUACACUGAUGCAUCCAACAAGUUUUCUCCCUUGUUCGGUAGGACUGGGUAAUCUUUUGAGUGUGCAUCGUGAUGGGGAUAGAUUAUUGCAAUUAUUAAUCUUCAACGAGGAAUUCCUAGUAGGCGCAAGUCAUCAGCUUGCGUUGAUUACGUCCCUGCCCUUUGUACACACCGCCCGUCGCUACUACUGAUUGGAUGUUUAAGCGAGGUUCUCGAACUGCUAGCGACUUAGCUUCGGUGAGGUCGCAGUGUGGGAAGUGAACCUAGCUUUGGUGUCUAGAGGAAGUAAAAGUCGUAACA
rnacentral:rRNA from 1 species